CCGGUACAGUGAUGAGAACAUAGUUCAGCUGACUGGCACUGAUGAGCAGUACUAAGUCUUUCGCUCCUAUCUGAUGUAUCUG
ensembl:snoRNA